rnacentral:lncRNA from 1 species
CCCUGCUGAUCUACUCUUACUUCCAAAUACUGCAAUAUAUAGGCUAUAUGUGGUUUUGCCAUUGAAAGAAAUAUCCAGAAACCCCUGCCAUGGCUGUCUAAUACUGUUGAGUCCCAAAAUCCUGGUAGCACAGUGCGACUUUCAUUUUCAGCUGCAGUGACUCGCCUCCAUCCAGAAAAAUACCCAAGUGGCAAAUAAUCCAGACUGUUUUGUCAGCUGUGCCACUGGAAAUGUCCUCUUCUACGUUGAAUCGAUCUGCAUUUAGACAAGUCUCAGUGAGAUUACUUGACAGGUGGGUCACUGUAUUAAAGCCAUACCUUUUUUUUGGUUAAAUGUAGUAUUAAUUUCUGCAGAAUUGUUAGUCAAAAAUGUGGAAUUUUAAAGGUGCCUUUGUAGAUUGUCAUGGGAUGCUGCGCAGAUGAAGAAUCUGCAGGUCAGGUUAUGAGGGCUAUUUUGUAAAUCUGUGCACACAAAUGUCCAUAACAUGUUCUAAGAGCUAGUUCAAUCUGGGACUUCUUGAGCUAAUUGAACCAACUUGGACCGAUAGCCUUUGAUGGACCUUUCUUCCACAGAUUUAGCUGUUUCCUUUCAGAACCUAUGGCCUCCACAACACACUGCACCCAUCAGCACUGCAGUUUCGUUAUGAAGUGUACGGAAAAGGACUUCUUUUUCUGGGAUGUGGUCUAAAACUGUUACUGGAUCAUUUCAUCAGGUAAUUAAUCAGGUGAAUCAUUAAUUCCUGGGUUAGAAUGGGUGAAUUCCCUAGGUCCUUUCUCCAUAACAUUCCAG